rnacentral:rRNA from 1 species
UGCAGUCGAGGGGUAUUAGUUUUCGGACUAAGAGACCGGCGCACGGGUGCGUAACGCGUAUGCAAUCUACCUUUCACAGAGGGAUAGCCCAGAGAAAUUUGGAUUAAUACCUCAUAGCAUAGCAGCUUCGCAUGAAGCCACUAUUAAAGUCACAACGGUGAAAGAUGAGCAUGCGUCCCAUUAGCUAGUUGGUAAGGUAACGGCUUACCAAGGCUACGAUGGGUAGGGGUCCUGAGAGGGAGAUCCCCCACACUGGUACUGAGACACGGACCAGACUCCUACGGGAGGCAGCAGUGAGGAAUAUUGGACAAUGGGCGCAAGCCUGAUCCAGCCAUGCCGCGUGCAGGAUGACGGUCCUAUGGAUUGUAAACUGCUUUUGUACGAGAAGAAACACUCCGACGUGUCGGAGCUUGACGGUAUCGUAAGAAUAAGGAUCGGCUAACUCCGUGCCAGCAGCCGCGGUAAUACGGAGGAUCCAAGCGUUAUCCGGAAUCAUUGGGUUUAAAGGGUCCGUAGGCGGUUUGGUAAGUCAGUGGUGAAAGCCCAUCGCUCAACGGUGGAACGGCCAUUGAUACUGCCAGACUUGAAUUAUUAGGAAGUAACUAGAAUAUGUAGUGUAGCGGUGAAAUGCUUAGAGAUUACAUGGAAUACCAAUUGCGAAGGCAGGUUACUACUAAUGGAUUGACGCUUAUGGACCA